AGCAUUGUGGCGCAGUGGCAGCGUGCUGGGCUCAUAACCCAGAGGUCCGUGGUUCGAAUCCAUGCGAUGCUA
rfam:Edhazardia aedis TSNM 41457 supercont1.40, whole genome shotgun sequence.